rnacentral:misc_RNA from 1 species
GCCAAUUUAGGAUUCAGUUCACUGAUCAAACCGAUUGGUUCGAUUUAAGUUUAAUAACUAUGAAUAUGAUGCAUUUUGCAAUGAGAUUACAAAAUAGCACGGAAAAUUUCUGGUAAUGGUUAGCGGCAAAGUACAUCUGGUGAGGUAAACUGGUGAAUUAGAGUCCUGCAUUUGCAGAAAAUCCCACUCUCGGUGGGUUUCCUAUCCAUUGCGGACUCCAUGUCCAGAAGCUUGGAGCAACUAUUCUGAACUCGUUCAGCUCGGCACAAAAAAACAUGAAAUCAGAAGCUUCAAAUUAGUUGCUUAACACUCGAGCAGCUCUGCAAAGUUACUUGCACUGUGCAUAACUUUUAACUGUCAGGUCAGUUGUGUAACCAUGGUCCAAGGAAUUCAAAAGAGAAGCAAAUCGUUGGUGUUCAUUUCUCACUGUAGUGGUAGAGACUAGCCAAGUAAUUGGGGGGUUUUGGUUCAAAUGAGAUUGUGACAAUUACUUGGAAGAUGCUUAAGCAUUUCACAUAGAGACGUGUAAUAGAGCAUUCAAAUAUAACAUAUAAUUGCCUGCUAUUUCCGCCAAAUUAGCGAACUGUAUGUCCAACAGAAAUAGGAGGAAAAAAAUGAUAAGCCAAGGGCAGACAGUCUUCUAUCAAUUAAUUGAUUUGUGUUCCACACAGAAUGAAAAAUAGGGGGAAAAAAUUAAAAGGCAAAAAGUAUACAUACAUACAUACAUACAUAUAUAAGCUACAAAUCAACUGUGAGAAAUUGCUACCUGCAACCCUUCAACAGAUAGGAAGAGGGACUUGAGAAGGUCAUGGCAGUUGAAGAUAUCCCCCUUUCUGUUCCCUUCCCGGGUGCCUCACAUUCACUGAAGUCAAGGGUGCGGCAUUCUGUCGAAACGUUUGAAGCCAAUCGGGAACGAUUCUCAAGCUGAUUAUUUGGUGCAUCAUUGUUCUCAAGGUUCAUAUUGGAGUGCCUUUUUUCUAAUAUUGUUUCAUGAGUUUCAUUUCCCAAAACUUCCAAAGCAUCAGCAUAAGCAGAGGCAGUUUGCUCGCUUAACUGCUUCAUCAAUGCAAUGGCAUCAUAGCUUCUCUCACCAGGGCUCAAAAAAUACCCAAUAUCCUCAAUAGAUAUGUCUGUGUCAACUCUUGGGCCAGGCAGAAAAGAAUUAAUGAACCAAGGAGACUUCCAUGCUGAAGGAGAUUCAAUACUCCUUUUGAAAGGAGUUUCACCAAAUAUGCUAAGAUUUUCAGCACCAGCAUCAUUCUCAGUAUUAUCAAUUGUAUUCUCUGAACGUGCUGAUGUGGAUGCAAGUAAAAGAUUUUCAUUAUUCUUCUUGCAAAUGGUUGGGGAUCUAACAACUAUACAUGAAUUUCCAGAUGAAGAUUCCGAAGCAAUACAUUUUUCUGAUAAAGUUCCCAAUAUUCUACGGUAUAAAUUCUUUGGAGUUCGAGAACUUGGAGCAAAUGCUUUGUCUCCUUGAAAACCAACUUGAUCAGGAGAAAAUAAUAGCAGAUCAUUCAUGCUGUCUUCAACAAGAACUCCAGAAGGCUGUUCCACAUUUAGGGUACUAGCAUUGGUAUGAACCUUAUUCUUAGCAUCAGCAUCAGAAGUUCCCUGCUCCUUGUUGUCCUGGGAAUUACUGCUAUCACAAUCUUUCUCGGAAAUUUUCUUAUCCACAAAUGCAGGGCAAUCUCUCCCCUUUUCCUCUCUACCUUCAAAAGCAGGAUCCAAAUUUUCUUUAUCUUCAUAGGUAGAUCCAUGGUUCCUUUUCUGAUUAGAUGGAGAUAGCCGAGAUGCUGUGUGUGUCUCACUCUCAUCAAACAUAACAUCCAACCUUGAAAACUCCUUGGUCAAACUAGAUGUCAUGUCAAUCUCAAGUUUUUUUGUCAACUCUUCUAUCAGACAAAGGUGAUAACAAAUCACGAUUUCGUUUCUUCAAAAUGGAUGGUGUACCGGAAAAAGUCCUAGCGGCACUCUUCAGCACGGCAUCAGGACUAUCAUCUCGAGAUGGUGACUCCCAUAACCUAAAUGGAGUGAUGCAGUUCAUGGAUGACAUCAUUAGUUGGCGGAUACCUAGAGGGCUAUACUCUUGCUGCAUAUCACUACCAGAUUGAAUAAGAUCACAGCUCAGAAAAGGAAUAUCCAAGCUUGGGAAACGUGGAGGUUCAUAGCAUAGAGCUCCCGCAUCCUGCUGUUCUGUGUGCACAUUUGGCAUUUCAUCCACAGGACACGACUGUAUGGUAUCGGAACCAGAAGUGAAAGUGUCCGGUGGAGCUAAUUUUGAAGGUUCCCGCAGAUAAUGUUGCUCUUGCAUGUCUGUGUUAUCUGUACCAUCACCACAGGGAGAUCUAUCAGUGCCAUCAGUGUAUAUAAAGCCAUCAUGUGCACUUAUAACAUACUCUUGUUCAUUUGCCGCAAAAGAAUGAUUAAUUAUUUGAUUUUGUUCCCUUCUGCAUAUUAGAUUACUAUCAUCAGCCGAAAGUAGUGAAGGGCCAGAUGGAAAUGGUUGGCUGCAUGUAGCGGCCAAUACAACAGAUUUUGAAGGACUAAAUGGUUGUGCACUUCUGUCAGUUUCAGAUAUCUGGUAGUUUGAGGAUUGACAGUUUAAGGAAUCUAUACAUGCAACUGAGUUUGAGCCCUUUGUAAAAUUUCCAGAGGAGAAAAUACCACCAUUCAUUGCGUCAGAAAAUAAGAACCGGCAACAUUCAUCAUCUGAUAUUAAGAUGUGGUCUGGUUUAGCAGAACUUGCAGUGAUAUUUCCCAUGGAAGUUUGAAAUGAAACAUUCACCAGUUCAUGGCUUUCAUUUGCAGCUAUACAAUGAGUUGAUAACCCUGAUGACUCCUGCCCUAGUUCUAGAGAAGAAAUGUUACGAAACUCCUGUAAAUCAAAUUGGUAAUCACUGCUUGCAGAAGUUAUAGGGUUCUGUGAGAAGUUUUGCUGGAGAAAAUUGGAAGGGCAACCCACUUCACAAGGUAUUUCUGGGAUGGAAAAAGUAACAUCUGCCACUGACAUGAAGUAUUGUUCUGAACAAGAUACUGGACUAGAGCUGUGCUCCUUACCUAAACCAGCCUCUUCAGCAAGCUGGAAUUCUUCCCUUGUAUGUAAAACUGCAUUACCUAAGCCACUUGCAGUCUGAGAGCAGCCAGCAACAAUUGACUCUUGACUGCAUUCUGAUAUUUCCUCUGUUUCUGUUCCACAUUUUGGACCAGUAUCAUCUCCACUGCUUUGCACCCAUGAAGAAGAUGAAGGCAUAGGCUGAUUUUUGUGUGCAACAAAAGGGAGGCCUUGGAACUGCUCUAAUAAACCAGAUGCCAAGUAAGAGUCCAAUUUCUUUUUCACAGAACUAUUCCAGUGAUUUUUUAUAGCAUUGUCUGUCCUUCCAGGCAAGAAUUUUGUAAGCUCUGCCCAUCUGUUCCCAUAAAUCUGAUGAGCACGAAUCAAGGCCAACUCCUCCUGCUGGGUCCAUGCUUCUUUGUUUAUUGAAGGAUUAAGAUGAUUAUGCCACCUUUCUCUGCACUGUUUUCCAAUUCGUCCAGGUAAAUGAUGUGCAAUUGUGGACCACUUCUUUGGCCCAUAUUUGUUCACCAUUUCAAUUAUUAUUUCAUCCUCCUCCUUUGACCAUGGACCUUUAACAAGCUCUGGAUUUAAGACCUUCUGCCACCUAUGAAGGCAUUGUACAUCUGUCCGGUCCUUGAAACACUCAGCAAUCUUUUUCCAGUUCUUUCCUUUGAAACGCUGAACAGCCUUGCACAAAAUCUCAUCCUCUUCAGCUGUCCAUUGCCCCUUUGUGGAACGCCUUGCUGGGCCACUAGUCCGUCCAUGCAGAGGCCGAAUUCUCUGAACGCCCUCACUGUGCCCAUCUGAGGGAGCAGAAAUUGACUUGUCACUUUCCAUAGUUCUUUGAUAGACAAAUAAAGCAGCAUACCCCAAUUCCCACACUACAGCAAUUUUCUCCAGAGUAUGUCCUCAAAGUCAUCAUAAAUCUCCCUACUAAGCAAUUUGAAUUUCCCUCUUGCCAGACAAAAUCACAAUCCAACUGAGCUUUAGAAAGAGAAAUGCAGAGAUAGCAAGAAGAGAGACCGAUACGGUACGCAUUUGCAGAUCCUAAAGGAGUUCAAGAGAUCUGCAAAAUGCAAAUGCACUGAAAGAGUACAGUGU